GACGAACGCUGGCGGCGUGCUUAACACAUGCAAGUCGAACGGUGAACGAGGGAGCUUGCGCCCUCCGGGUCAGCGGCGCACGGGUGAGUAACACGUGCGCAGUCUUCUCCGAACUCUGGGAUAAGCGUUUGAAACGACGUCUAAUACCAGAUACGACGCGCUAGGGCAUCCUCUACGCGUGCAUCGAACCUCGGGUCGUGAUGUGCGCGCGUCCCAUCCUCUUGUUGGUGCGGUAACGGCCCACCAAGGCGCCGACGGCUCGCCGUCCUGCGAGGGUGACCGCCCACGCUGGGACUGAGAGAGGGCACAGACGCCAACGGGAGGCAGCAGUGGGGAAUAUGGCACAAUGGGAGCAAGCCGGAGGCAGCAACGCCGCGGGAGGGACGACGGCCUUUGGGUUGUAAACCUCUUUUAGCAGGGAAGAAGCGAAAGUGACGGUACCUGAAGAAAAAGCACCGGCUAACUACGUG
rnacentral:rRNA from 1 species